GGCUAGAGACUGGCCUGGGCUGCAACAUUUUUCUGAUACUUUAAUGUGUGUCCUUGUUGCUACAUUCUAUAUUGCCACCAAUAUGGCAACUUGAACAUGUCCUUGGUAGGUUGUGCUUGUGUAGGUCCGGAAGGCUGUGUGCUUAGGAGAUCAGCAGACAUAGGUGAAGGUCUUCGCUGGCUUGGGUUCUUGCUGAAGAUUGUUUGGUGCGGAGGUAUGGACUUCAUGGUUGAAGGUUCUGAUUCCCUUGCCGAUCGUGAACCUGAUCCAAGGCUGUACCCAUCUUUAGAGUCUCCUAUCAUCUCUUGCCCCAUGACCAGCUAGCUCAUCACAAAGAAGCCAGUGACAGUGUAUCCGAUCUUUCUUGCACUUCUGAUCUCUGACAUCUUCCAUCUCUGAUCUCCAAAUGCCAGUUAAAAGGGUUCACGUGAUGCUGAGGGCCCCUUCAGAUAAGCUCCUAUCUCACGGCCUGCUGAUCAUGGCCUUGUUUACAGCCUCUGAUUCCCUCAGCAUCAACACCGCUAUAGUGACUGAUGAACUUCCUGGGAAGGGGUGGCAAUCUGUCCUGGAGGUCUGAAUGUGCACCUAGGCUCAUCUUAGAAUUCUGCCUACCCUGUUACAUGGUGACUUGAACAAAGGUAAAGACAGAAACAAGAGCUAGCCUGAACUAGUUAUGUUUCCAUAGUAAAUAUGUAAAUGCUUUGAUAAUUUUAGGAAGUGUUUCGGUUUCCGCCAUCAAGAUGUGUUUUGCACUUACUAGACCGUUUAAUAAUAUGCAUAUUUGUGACCUGUGUAUGUCUGUGUGUUCUAAGAGAACAAGACGUUGUAUUAGUUGACUGGAGAGUGGUAUAUCACUAACUGUUCAGUAAGUGUCUCUUUUCUUUGUUAUCUCUGUUCCAGCUCCCGGGACCUUCCCUCUGCUUCUUUUCUUGUCUGGUUCCUUCUCUGCUCUAUCUUAACUAUCACCUGCUCAUAGAUGAGUUCCCAGAUGACUUAAUGCCAUUAGGGUAAAAUCCAGGCAGUGGUUCAAGUUGUUCUUGGAUUGUGGUUCUCUUAUCUUUCUUAGUAGCAGGUCUCUGCCUGCAUCUUAGCUCUCACUCCAGCUGGACUGUGUGGGGUGUCAGGAAAGGGAGGUUCAGCUCUGUCCCUUCUCAUCGCAAAGGCCCAUGCUCCGCUCGCAGUAGACACGAAGCCUUCUGUGAUUGAUGACGUGUGAAUUCAGAGGGCUCCAGUGCCGGAGAAUGGUUAAUGUUACCGUGUGCUGCUAGAAUCUGAAGCUAAGGCACUCAGGAGGUCAUUGCUAAAGCAGUUGCUGUUUGACAAGAACCUGGUUGACAAUCAUAAAACACUCAGAGAUGGAGACUCUGCAGAUGGACGUUGAGGGGAGCAGUGUCUACAUUGUACUACAGAACUUGGGGUGCCCCCAGGAAGGAGGCAGGUGGUGAGCCUAAGUAUCUUGGGUUGGCCCAUGGUUCAUAGCACUAAUUCUACUUUUUUUUUUCCUUCAAGAAAGGGUAUUAUUCUCUAGCCCAGGCUAUCCUUCAACUCACCAAGUUGGCCUUGAACUUGCUGUCCUCCCACCUGGGCCUUUCAAGUGCUAGGAUGACAGGUACUUUUUAUUCAGAGUUUUCAGUGCCCUACCUCAGACACCCUGUCUCCUUCCAUUCAUGGUUUGUUUCUUGAGGAAGCCAUAGCAAAGACCCACAGAAAAGCUGUGGAGAGCUCUGGAGCCCACCAUCUUAGUACCCUUAGCUGAACCUGAACACAGUACCACCCUCUGGGAAGUAAGCAUUCAAACCCAUGAGCCCAGCCAGACCCUGAUUUCCUCUGAAAACUGGAGAGAUGAUUCCCACCGUGCAGGCUAGGAGGAUAGUGAACACAAAUUCUUGAUGCAUUCUUGAGCCUAAAAGAUACUCUUAACAUGAUGAUUAAACUGAACUCUCUUAAGAAUGGCUCUGCACAUCUGGAAUGGGGUGCAGAUAUUCAUUUUAACAGCAGAUCGUUUUAAAGUCUGCAGUAGAUGAUAAGAUUGCUAGAAACACUCUGCUCUAGCUCCUAGCACCUUCCUUCCGCUGCGUUUUGAUGCUCUGUUUAAUUGAUUUUUCCCUCCUUAUAAGUUAAAUAGGGACUGCCUAUGUUCACAUCUUUUGUAGAUAAGCACAUUUCACAAUGACACAACGUGGAGCAAAGCUUAUCUGACUUUCUUUAUGAUUCAGAAGGCACUUUGGAACCUGUAAGGCCUCUGGGUUUUUACUAGGAACUCCAGUUAGCAUUUUAUUGUAGCUGUUCAGCAGCAUUGGUUUUUAGCCAGCUUGGAAAGCAACCUCUCUACCUCUCUUCCUUUUCCCAUUCAGUAUAACACGUGCUCUAAAAAUAGUCAGGUUCAGUAAUUCCAGACCAGCUCGCUUCUGCCAGACCCCAACACACUUGGUCAACAUCACUGGGUUGUAGACCUGCAUGCCCUGGCCAGUGAUGGAGAGGACUUGAACUAGCAGAUGUAGCAGCACCAUGAUGCUGAAGACCAGUCCUCAGGGAUUGCCAUUGCUUUUAAAGGAUUAGAAUUUGUUCCAGUGUGGUCAGGCCGGGAGCUGGCUGAGACCACCAUUCUUCCAUAGAAGAAUGGUGGAAUUGACCACCGAGGUUACCUUCUCCCAUUUUUUUUUUUAAUUCCAACACUCUGGGCCAGUGGUUCUCAACCUUCCUAAUGCUGAGACCCCUUAAUACAGUUCUUCAUGUGGUGGUGACCUCCAGCUGUUAUAUUACUUUCCAUGCUACUUUAUGACUUCAAUUUUGCUGCUGUACAUAUCUGACAUGUGGGAUAUCUGAUGUGUCACCUCUGGAAAGGGUUGUUUGACCAGUCACAACUCACCAGUUGAAAAACCACUGCUUUAAAGGGACACAAUCAGUGCAUUCAUUCUCACGACAGGUUGGACAUUCUUAGCAAAUCUGAUGUGGCAAGAAUGGAGGGAACUUUGGGUGUAAAUAUCUGUUGUGGGUGUCAUUCCCACACAGGGCACUAUGUUACUACUGUUGCCUUUCUUCUGCUGGCCUUUUACUUCUCAGAGUGUGAUUUAGAGAAACCUGCAGUGCCGGUUGUUACCGUAGCCUAGAGUGAGAGCCCAGUCUGGGAUGAAUCCUGUCCAUGCGCCUUCCAUACCACAGGACCUAUGAGACUGAUGUUCCCCCAGUCAUCUGAAGGAUGGGGACCAUCUACAUGGUCUGCUACAGAGCACUCCAUACACCCAGUUUCUCCUCUAAACUGGAGCUGGCUACUGCUCAGCUCGAAAGGAAAUGUCUGGUGCAUGGGAAAUAAAUUUAAACCAUGAGCAAAUGCUUGCAUUCUUAUUUUUAUUUGAACCAAAAUUAAUAUUCAAAGUUGGAAUGCCGUUUUCAGAGAUGCUGGCAUUAUUUGGUUAGAUUUUGAGGUGAAGUAUAUGAAAGUGAUUAUAGAUAAUAAAUACCUUUUUUAAGAAAUACUUAUUGCAGAGGCAGUUUUUCCACUGUUAAUGAGGGCAAUUUGACUUGGUUGAGGGAUUGCAGUUCUUAAGAAUUAAUGCAGUAAUCCAAUUCAAAGAUUUAAAGAGAUCUCAGAUUUUUCACAGGUCGCGUGCUAGCGAAUGUGCUGCUAUCCGAUAGCAGCUAAUGGGCUUGAACGCCAGCCUGUCAUUUACUGUUUCUCUCCGCGCAGCAGCUUUGCCCUUGGUAGGGAGUGUACUUUCUCCAGGCAGGUUAUUUAGAAGUGUGGUGUAUUUGUAACACUUUGGAGAGAGUAUUCUAUUACCCAAAGCCUCUAAUGACUAUGAAAACUGGGGGUUAUCUUUCUUAAUUACAUGUUUGAAACCAAAUUGCUGAAGGUCUGAUGAAUACUGGGCUCAGAGGAGCUGCCUCCUUGCCUUCAUUUUCCUAUGAGGUCCUUUUAUUUUAUUAUUUAUUUGAUAUAUUUUUUAAAAAAACUAAUUCAUGUAUCAUUGUAUUCACGCGUGUGGGUUAAUUUUCACGAAUGCAAAGGUUGCAGGCGUUAUGGGCCUAGCUUUGCAUUUUUGAUAACAGUGUAUUUAUUAACAGCUAACUGAGUUCUGUGAAGGCUUAUUUGUAAAGGAUGGUGCAAAAUGCCCCUAGUUCCUGAUCCUAUUAUGUUCUGAAAUCUCAAGAAUUCCAUUUGAAGGCAAUUAGAAGCAUUCAAGUCUCCCCAAGUGUGUUGUUCCCUGCUGUUCUGCGAGCACAAGGACCUUUGUUCUUUAAUUAGAGAGAGGACUAGAGCUCAUUAAUUGUUGUUUCAUGCAGUAUUGGCUCCAACAAGAGGCAACAAUGCAUUGCAAGGUAAAGUCCACCUGUACCAGGGUGGCUCUCCGAGUUCACCAGGCUGUGAAAAGAUAAAUGGGGUCUCUGACAGGCUCUGCCUCUGACCUGAACUUUUCUCAAGUACCUAGCUGGCUGUUUAUCAAUCUUGAGAACAAAAUGUCUUUUAGAUGCCAGGAGGCAUCCCAGCUUCUGUAGAAAUCUAGAACUUGACUUUUGUUGAAAGCCUAUCUUCUUCCAGAAAGCAAGCCAGCUAGGAUCUCUUUGCAGCUCCUUAGUACGUCUGUGAACACUGCCUAGAAGCCUUAGAGCCCACUGAGUAUGGGUGCAUUGUUAAGAAACUUCACAGAAACAGUUACUGCAAUGAUUUGUAGACCAAUUUUUACUGCUACCAUAGCCAGAGGGUGUACAAACGAAAUCAGAAGGCCUAUGCUGCAGCAGUUACAACAGAGGCUUCCAGUUCCCACAGAAGCAGGCGUGUCUUCUGUAUCCAGGAAACCCCCACCUCUAGACUGAUCCCCAGUGCACAUGACUGAUGAAUAUCAAGGUUGCAGGGAAGAAGAAAGAUGAGCAACUUUAUCUCCGCAAAAACAUCUCAAGACAUCAUUGAAUGGAUAAGGUUUUUCUGGGACUGGGCUAGGAUGGACUGUUGGGGAUGUCUUGAAAUAAAAGGCUAUGGAGAAUCGGAUAUGGGGGCAUGAAAUUGGGCAGGGGAGCGGUGAGUUUCAUGUUCCUUUUCAUUCUCCCUGAGAAGGGGUCAUGUGUCUGUCAGGUGGCUAACUCCAGAAGGACUCGGGAUCCUGGGCUUUGGUGAGGUCUCCUCUAUCAAGCCCCUUAACAAUUCUCCUAUCAGUGUUUGCUCUCUCCUUCCAUCUUUGCUGAAGCAUGAAUUACUUGUGGAGCCAUAAAGCUCAUGGAAGACAUUGUUAACAAGAGGGCUUUGCUUCAUAAAAGAAACAGGGACCAGGGAACUGGAGGCCUGGCAUCCCAGAAAAGGUGAAUAUCGAAACCAAAAUCUCUCCCCCAGAUUCCCUACCUGUUAAGGAGGCACAUCUAACUUGCUAUGUAUGGGGUUUUUUGUUUUUUUUUUUUUUCCACCAGCAAUUUUUUUUAAUGUUGUAUUUCUGGGGGAAAGAAAAAUAGAUUUUAAAAUGUAAAAACCUGUUCUUCAAUUGAGUAUGCAAAAAUCUCAUUGCAGUAUUUAUUCCAAACCUGCUCUCAUAAUGUUCAGUCAAGGAGAAAACAGCGAAAAACAGUUGUUGAUGGACUUAGCUCAGAACUGGAUUAAAUAAGCAUUAGUCUACUGGAGCUGAUUACAGGAAUAUGAAAAUGUGGUAUCUUAAUGGUACAUAUUUUUAUGUGGCAGCUCAGUUGCCUUUCAUUUUGCAGCUAAUAUGUCUAUUCUUAUGAGUCAUUUACUUCCUUAAUUACCUUUUGCAGGCAAGGCACCAUGGUAUAUUAAUGUGAAUGAUUUUUACUGCCAGUUUAUCAUACAAUGCCCCAGAAGUUGAAAGGCGUAAUUGACUUGGAAGAACAGCUCGUGAAGGAAACAAUAUUUAGUUGACAGUUUUCCUUGUACUCUCUGUUGACGUUUAUGAGUUUACACUAUGCUAAAGGAGUCAUAAACACAAUUUUCUUUCAAUAACAGCAAAGGGUAGCUUCUAAAAUACAUUUGUGGAAAACACAUUUGUUCAUUUCUUGAAUAAUGGGAAAAUAACACAUUUCCAGUGAUAAGACCUCUCCGAUUGCCAAUUGAAUUAAACCUUUGAAGGUAUAUUUAUAACCUGUCUCCCAGCAUUAGAAGAGACUAGGAUUCGGUGGGGGAUUGAAUCGGCUUAAUGAAUAUUUAAAUUAUACACAGAUUUGGGUAAGUCAUAUUUAAAUCUAGGUGUUUGGGGUGAGACUGAGCAGCCCUGCCAGCUUCCUGAAUAAAGGGGAGGCGGGAAGAGAGCUUGGGAAUUGGGAAUUGUCUGGAAGAUUCUUCUCUCUGAAGGGAAAGAAAGUCUGUCACUACAUUUUGGGAAAAUACAAGAAGGCACAAUGGGGGCAACUCCUUAUAAGGUCUGGACUUUGAACAGUUAAAAUAAGCCUCCGGUAGCUUUCCCUAGCUCUGCAGCCUGCAAGGAUGGCUUCUCCUGAACUCCUCUUGGCAGGUUCCGCCUUCAGCCUGCUUCUGCAGCCCCCCCCCCCCCCCCCCACACACACACACACACACACACCGGGGCCUGUGCAGACUCUAGUUUUGGCACAUCGGUUCAGAGGGAGUUAAACUUUGUCAGGGUUUUCUGGAUUGUUUGCAGUUCAGUCCUGUGCAACAUAAUGAAAGUUUUCUAGCCAUCUGUUGUUGAGCUGGCGGUGAGCAAGGCCAGUAUAUCCAAACAAAGUCCUGGCCGCUGUAAACUGAACCUGUCAGCUUAGCAUAGCUCUGCUGACCCUUCCAGCUCACAGGGCAGCCCUUGGUACCAGGCACUCACUGCUGAGAGCUUUCAAAGGGGAACUAUUUUGGGGGUAGGCAGCGGGGCCUGUUUACUUUCCCCUCUGUGUACCUCUCGCUGGCUCGGACUAGUUUAUACUUAGUGUUUAAAUGGACACUUCUCCUCCCUCCGUUUUCAGAGGAAGGACUGACUUCUUGCCAAGGGAUUUCACUUUUAGGAAAGGGUGUAAAUGUUGAUAAAUACGUGUGAGGCGGUGAUGCUUCAAAGGGAUAUUUUAUGCAAGUAUUUUGGUUUCAUUAGUUUGUCUCCAAUGUUUGAGGAACAAAUCACCCAGGCAAAGAAACUCCUGCAUUUAUCACACAGCUUAUAGCAUUUAAAACUGUUUAUGGCUUUGAAAGGACUUCUUACUCCUUUUUUUGUUUUUGUUUUUGUUUUUUUGUUGUUGUUGUUGUUGUUGUUGUUUUGUUUCCUUCUGAAAUUUGUAUUUCAUCGUCCUGAGUUAAUGCCCAACAUUACUUGGCUAAGCAGAACGUACACAAUGCUCCCUGCUCUAUGGAAGAACAACCUCCUUGUUUGUACUCAUUUAUUUACAGUGUAUAUCUUUUGCCUCAAAUUACGUAGCUUAACCUUAAAACCUUUGUGUAAUUUUCUGGCACCUUUUCCCUUCUGCAGCAGUGAACUAUUCUUGACUGUAUAUGAACUAUCCUUAUACCCAUGGAUCCCGUUUGUAAGCAUGUAUAUGUAUAUUUGGACAUGGAUACCUGUAUAUGUACACACGGCAAUGACUUACAUAGCUAUGUGUAUAUCUAUUGCAUGUAUAAAGACUAUUCAGUCAUCUUUAUAAACCGGUUCCUACUUGACCUUUGUGGCUUAGUGACUAUGACAUACACUUACUUCCUGUCAUGCACUGAUUCUUUUUGUGACUUCCAUUAGAAGUCAGCCAUGGGGAGCUGUCACCAAACCUCGGUGUCCAUUUCAAGCCAUUAAAACAUCCAGGGAAUGUGGCCACCACUGUUGAAUGGCCACUCCGAAGGACUUCUUAGUUCCUAUUAACGAGAAGCAGAUCCCAAGGUCACAUGGCAAAAGGAGAGGCAGCAAAGAGAUGCACACUCAUACAAAGCACCUGUGUAAAGGGGCCGAGACUCUACAGUCAAAGAAUGUGCAAGAGACCGGAAGUCAUAAGUGGGGGUGAGGCACACUUAAGCCCUCCCUUCUAAGACAGUGGAGUGUUACACUAGUGAACAAAUAUGCAAUUUAAAAUUUAAAAUGAAUGUGCUUAUUUAAAAAUACCAUGGAAUUCUUAUCUGUUUAGAAGGUAACUGACAUGUAAAGUGCUCUUUCUGUUUUUAUUUUCCUAAGUGUAGUGUUUUGGGUGGAAAUGUCAGGAAUUGGAUAGUAACCUUGGUGUUUAGGAUACUGCCUUUUGGAACAUGACGUUGUAUUUGGUUGUGUGUCCUUAUUAUUAUUUUUUUAGAGGAGGCCUGCUUUAAGAGGUCAUCUAUUAGCUGUGUUCUUGCUGUCUUAAACUCAGCCCUUCUGUCUAUUAAAAUCAAACCACUAUGUAAACAUUCCAGUGUUGUUCUUAGUCUCCACAAUGGCCACGGGGAUCGGGUUUCACCUGCCUGCACAUCUUCAAGCAAUUAAAGCAAUUAGUGAAGCCAUUUCACAUUCAAAGACUCAAGGUCUAUGGUGACAUUCAAGUCCAGCAGAAGUCUGAAAGGGGGAAAGGACAGGCCUGAAGCGUGGCUACCAUUCCAUGGCCCUGAGCAGACAAUCUCUCUGCUAAAAAUGGUAGCUCUUUAAUGGUGUUAUUAUGAGGUUUUUAAAUGACAUCUCAAAAGUUGUUUACAUCAAAAAAGCCCAACAGUCAUUUAAUUAUACUAAUGAAGGCCUUCUUACUUGGCAGAUUUUUUUUUAAAGACCUUUAAUAUCCAAAGAAAUGGAAUGUUACUUCUUGCAUCAAAGUGGAGGCAAUUGCAUUCUUUGUGAAGGAAAAAUGUAUUUUCUAAUCUAUAAGGGAAAUGCAUUUCACUUUUAUGGCAAACGUCCCUUGUUUGGGGGUAAAUUACAAUCAUGUGGAAUAUCAAAGUCUUAAAGUUUGGGGAGAAAAUGUUGGAAGCAGCUUCUUCGUCCUUUUGUUGUUGGUGUCAGGGAAUAGCAGAGGAAACUGGCUUGUCCGAGCUAGUGCAAUUUAAAGCAAAGGUUCAGCCCUGAAUAUAUGACAUUCCAUGGAAUGGGGCAGAGGUGACCUGAGAAAAACAGCUUAGACUCUGGAAUGGAAUGUGCUGUUUGUUUUUUUGUUUGCUUGUUGUCUUGGGAAUGUAAGCGAAAUCGUUUUAGUGUAACCUGGAAACUAUGUCCACAACAUGUCAUGCUGCUUUGAAUGAAGAAUUUGUUUUGACAAAAUAAAUAUAAACAUGUUUUGACUUAAAGGGGAUUCUUGUUGUAAAAGUAGGAAAAUAUUUACAAACAGUGUGAAUGUAUAACGUGUUUUGACUGUGAGCAAAACAGAAAAAUAUUUAUGUUAAAAAAUGUGCAAAAUAUUUACCCCAAAGUCAAACACAUGGCAAGCCUGAUAUACCAUGUGUUGACACACCCAAAGAGUUUAAAAACUGAACCUGGACAGUGGCCCCUAGGAUUGUACUGCCAUGCUCCCAAGACAUGCCAUCUAGAACUCUGGGCCUAUCCUGUUGCAAAGGGACUUUGAGACUGACCCCUGUGUGUUAGGGUUAGGGGCUAGGGGUUAGGGUCAGGUUGGGCGCCAUUGCUGAAUUCACACAUGCCUACCAGUGCUAGCCACUGGCCAAUGUUCUCAAGUGCUUUCUGGAAUUUCCAACAGUGUCAUCCUCCUGGCUAUAGUUCAAGGAACCUCUUGGAUCACCCUCACCAUACAGGAUUCCCUAGCAAAAGCCUGAAGCAUUUCCUCCUCAAGGGUCUCUAUCCAGCUCUUUGAGAUGAUAAGACUACCGUAAUCUUUAUAAUAGCACAGUUUCAUAGGGAAUGUUUUUAUGAGUACAGUUAUCACAGUUUGAAAGGCAGAUCUUAUGUGGCUAUUCUAACUGCUGAGGGAGGGCCUCACAGUCUACCAGCCUUGCUCCUCAUAGUUUGUCUUCACAGUUCUAUCUCGGUUAUCCAGGAAUCCUGUUGGUACAAGGCAAACUGUAAACUCAUUACAGCUUGGAAAAUUGUGUUGUGCAUUUUUAAACACAUAUUUUAUUGUUGCUUACUAUGGACAGCAGGGAGAGGGAGGCAGCAAUAAUAAAAAAUCCUAGCAUCUUAUGAAAAAGUGAAUCUCACUUCUUCAGUCCCAGAAGAAACAAUUCCAAAAGAAGCGCAGGGUAAAUUGUGUAGAAUUCUGUUGUCCUUUAAUCGGGCUGGUUCUGCCAUUUCCCCUUCAGUGUUUAUUAAUAAACAACUCAAGCACAGAACUGUUCAAAGAUGUCCUUUUCUGUUGUUAUAGGCAUUGACUUUAAAACGAAAUAUCAUUUUAAGAAAAAUGUACGCCUUUAAGAAAAAGUCCUUUAAAAUUUUUUAUGCCCAUGAAGUAGUCCUUGCAAUAAUCUCUUUAAGAAACUGGCUGAGAUGGCAUCACAGCUCCUAGGGGUGAAACAGUGACACAUCUCUGGGACUGAAGGAAUCUGACCAUGUGCAUGACUGUAGGUGGGGCUCUUGCAGUCAGUUCCUUGCCUCGGCAUCUUAGAGUGAUAGUCCCAUCCCAAGUUGGCUUAUACAGGAGCCUUCUGAAUGCCCACCUCCCCUGGGCCAGCCUGGGUGCUCUCCUCUGCUACUUCUGGGAACAGAAAGAGCCUGGCAGUGCGGUAUAGCAUGGGGAAGCCUGGGCAUGUGCCUUCCUUUCUCCCCUGCCCCUUGAAGCACAUUGUUAGCAAAUCCUUUGUAACCUCUGCAAAUGGACC